rnacentral:tRNA from 3 species
UCCCCGGUAGCUCAGCGGGUAGAGCGGGUGGCUGUUAACCACCAGGUCGCUGGUUCGAGGCCGGCCCGGGGAGCCA